rnacentral:lncRNA from 1 species
AACGCUUGUGGAUUUUUAGCCUUUGGAUCAGUGAGUUGAAUGAUUUCCCUAAGAUUUAGUGGUGGUUGGUGGAAUAGUAUAAUUUAAAAGGUAAAAUUGGCCAAUGGGCGAUUGUGGUGGCUGGUGGAAUAGUACAACCCAAAAGGUAGAAAUGGUCAAUGGGCAAGGUGUGUUUAAAAGACUUAGGCCCUGUUUGGCCAAGCUUCUGAAAAAGUGAUUUCUGAAAAAGUGAUUUUGGUUUAGAAAAGUGAUUUAUGUUAAAAGCUGUAGAGCGUUUGGCUGAGUCUGAUAGAAAAGUGAUUGUGCUGAAGUGAUUUUAGANG